AAGUCACUUUUGUCCCCUGUGUGGGGGUGGGACUAUCUCAUCAUCUCAUUUUUCUACCUCUGGAUGGUGAGCUGCUUCUGUCUUGAAACUGUUCCCUCCUCUGCCACAAUUCCUAGGACAUCUCUCUCAGUGCCUUCAAUAUCGUUUGGAAUUCGUUGUUAUCUCGGGCAACUUUCAACUGGCUCCGCCUAAGAAUUCCUCAUUGGACUCGUUAAGAAUUCCUCAUUGGACUCGUUAAGAAUUUGAAACCUUUGGGGCUCACUGAUCUUCAACCUAAAUGCUUAGCUUAGUCUUCUACUGCAAUACAGCCCGGCCACAAUAUACAUUAGGUAUCCAUGGGUACAUCAAGGUCUUUAAUAACUGAGAUGAUAAAAGGAGAGAGGAGAAAAGGCAAAGGGACCCCAGCAUCAGGCUCCAGAGCAGAAGGAAGCCUUUCAAAUGGUGGCUACCACGAUGGGAGAAAUCUCUUAGAGAUGGGGAUACUCUGGAGGCUCAGGCAAGAAGACAUCUGUCCAAACAAUAGCCUGCUCCUAGAAGUGUGCCCUGCUUUAACUGCAAUCAGCUAGGGCACUGGAGCAAGGGGUGCCCCAGGCAUUGGGUUCCACCAGGGCCAUGCUCCAACUGUAUAAAGCAAGAACACCGGAAGAGUGAGUGCCCCCCUUUUAAGAAGGGAGAUUGCACUCGCCUUCCAGAUCCAGCAGAGCCCCCUGCACUGGCCCCCUGCAUACCCACAGACCUUCUGGGACUGCUCCCGUCUGACUGAUGGGCCCUGGCUCUGGAUUUGACUCCACUUUGCUACAUUGAAAUGGCCGAGUCAAGGGUAACAGUAGCAGCAUCUGCUUUUACAGAGUUCCUGAGAAAACAGCAGGAGGACGAGCUACAGCCUCAAUCAUAUCUUGAGGGUGGAGUCACAUCUCCUGUGAUAAUUCCUUCUCCAAGGAAAGACAGAGGAGCCAACUUUGGAACUUCGACCUCCUCACGGUUUUUGUUAUCUACUGCUGCCAAGAGAAAAGGAGCAGAUACAGCAAUUUCUCCACUGUACUCUGCCAUUUUACAACCCCCUUAAAAAACCUCAAUAGCUGGUUUUGGGGCCAACUCAUUCUUUCCUUCUACCUAGGUGCUGUCCUUCUCCCUACUCCCAGGGACAAAUAAAUAAACUUUUUAUUUCUA